GCAAGAUUAAAACUCAAAGGAAUAGACGGGGACCCGCACAAGUGGUGGAGCAUGUGGUUUAAUUCGAAGAUACGCGAAGAACCUUACCUAGCCUUGACAUUGAUAGAAUCUUCCAGAGAUGGAGGAGUGCCUUUCGGGGAACUUGAAAACAGGUGCUGCACGGCUGUCGUCAGCUCGUGUCGUGAGAUGUUGGGUUAAGUCCCGCAACGAGCGCAACCCUCGUCAUUAGUUACUAACAGUUCGGCUGAGGACUCUAAUGAGACUGCCUUCGUAAGGAGGAGGAAGGUGAGGACAACGUCAAGUCAUCAUGGCCCUUACGGCUAGGGCGACACACGUGCUACAAUGGUUAGGACAAUGAGAAGCGAUACCGCGAGGUGGAGCAAAUCUAUAAACCUAAUCUCAGUUCGGAUUGUAGUCUGCAACUCGACUACAUGAAGCUGGAAUCACUAGUAAUCGUAGAUCAGCCAUGCUACGGUGAAUACGUUCCCGGGUCUUGUACUCACCGCCCGUCACACCAUGGGAGUUGAUUUCACCCGAAGCGGGGAAGCUAAACUGGCUACCCUCCACGGUGGAAUUAGCGACUGGGGUGAAGUCGUAACAAGGUA
rnacentral:rRNA from 1 species